GGUUCCAUAGUGUAGCGGUUAGCACGUCUGCUUUACAUGCGGAAGGUUCUGGGUUCACGCCCCAGUGGAGCCA
rnacentral:tRNA from 1 species